rnacentral:tRNA from 2 species
GCGCCCGUAGCUCAGCAGGAUAGAGCGACAGUUUCCUAAACUGCAGGUCGGAGGUUCGAAUCCUCUCGGGCGCGCCA